GAGUUUGAUCGUGGCUCAGAUUGAACGCUGGCGGCAGGCCUAACACAUGCAAGUCGGGCGGUAGAGAGAAGCUUGCUUCUCUUGAGAGCGGCGGACGGGUGAGUAAUGCCUAGGAAUCUGCCUGGUAGUGGGGAAUAACGCUCGGAAACGGACGCUAAUACCGCAUACGUCCUACGGGAGAAAGCAGGGGACCUUCGGGCCUUGCGCUAUCAGAUGAGCCUAGGUCGGAUUAGCUAGUUGGUGAGGUAAUGGCUCACCAAGGCGACGAUCCGUAACUGGUCUGAGAGGAUGAUCAGUCACACUGGAACUGAGACACGGUCCAGACUCCUACGGGAGGCAGCAGUGGGGAAUAUUGGACAAUGGGCGAAAGCCUGAUCCAGCCAUGCCGCGUGUGUGAAGAAGGUCUUCGGAUUGUAAAGCACUUUAAGUUGGGAGGAAGGGCAGUAAAUUAAUACUUUGCUGUUUUGACGUUACCGACAGAAUAAGCACCGGCUAACUCUGUGCCAGCAG
rnacentral:rRNA from 1 species